CUGUCUCUACUUUAUGCUGCCGUUAGUAUGGACAGCAUAAAGUUGAUGGCAGGUUCCCUUUUUAAGUGUUUUUUUAUUUUAUUUAUUAUUUAAAGCUCAAUCCCAGUAGUCUGAGAUCGGGGGAGCUGUAUAGCUAGCUCUUCACCCUGUACUGCUGCUUUAUCCCAUUUCUAUCAAGACAAACAUUUCCUCAGGAAGCUGAGAUAUGGGGAGCUGUUAUAUGUCAUGUUAUCCACCUGUUGACUUUAUGCGUCCGAGUGCUGAGCACUUAUCUCUGCAAGGGCCCUAAUUGAGGGGGGAGCUGGCAGUCGGUGACAGCAGGGCUCCCUAUAGAGAAGGGGGGCUCAGUUUUACAUUGCCGUAUACACUAUAUAUACAGAUCAGGAAGUGGCAGUGAUCCUAGAGGUCAUGUGAUCACCAGGUGUCUGCCUGAGCUGCUGGGUCCUAGCAGACACAGAUCAGCUCUGCAGUGAGGCUUUACAGCCACAUACAACCUCUCCUCGGGCUGUAUUCCCCCUGUAACUGGGGCUAAGAUAUACUUAUGUAAAAUGUAAUGUUCUAUAGAGUACAAAGUUACUUCUAGCCCCGCCCCCAGGGAACAUAACCUAUAUGAGCAUUAUCUAAAGGGGAAAUAAUUUGAAAAAAAUAUUUCAGGUUGAAAACUGACUAUUGUCUCCUUAGUAAUUGAUAAAGCAGCCCUGAAGGGUGAGGGCCACGCCAUACAGCUCCUGUGGCCCUACCAUUGAACUGUAUUAGCAUCCCUGUAAUAAACUGUACAGGAGGGGGGGGGGUGUCCUUUGCACUUAUGAUAUGCAGGGGGAGGGGCAUGAAGCCCCUCCUCCAUACGCUUUGCUUUUCUACAUUCCAUGCUGCCAUUGGUCGGAGCCUCACAUGUGACUCGGUGGCUUCUUCCUCUCUGCACCUCAGGGCUUUUCUCGCUUGUGUCACUGCCGCGCUCUGUAUUACGUUAUAUUCUGCCAAAAACGCCGCUGUCACAUAUUGUCGCUACGUGCGUCUCCGUUAAGAAAAGAGUUAAUAAAACUUUAUAUACUUCACUUCUCUAUAGA